rnacentral:rRNA from 2 species
UUCGGAUUAGUGGCGAACGGGUGAGUAACACGUGAGCAAUCUGCCCCUGACUCUGGGAUAAGCGUUGGAAACGACGUCUAAUACCGGAUACGAGCCGAGCAGGCAUCUGCAUCGGUUGGAAAGAACUUCGGUCAGGGAUGAGCUCGCGGCCUAUCAGCUUGUUGGUGAGGUAAUGGCUCACCAAGGCGACGACGGGUAGCCGGCCUGAGAGGGUGACCGGCCACACUGGGACUGAGACACGGCCCAGACUCCUACGGGAGGCAGCAGUGGGGAAUAUUGCACAAUGGGCGCAAGCCUGAUGCAGCAACGCCGCGUGAGGGAUGACGGCCUUCGGGUUGUAAACCUCUUUUAGCAGGGAAGAAGCGAGAGUGACGGUACCUGCAGAAAAAGCACCGGCUAACUACGUGCCAGCAGCCGCGGUAAUACGUAGGGUGCGAGCGUUAUCCGGAAUUAUUGGGCGUAAAGAGCUCGUAGGCGGUCUGUCGCGUCUGCUGUGAAAACCCGAGGCUCAACCUCGGGCUUGCAGUGGGUACGGGCAGACUAGAGUGCGGUAGGGGAGAUUGGAAUUCCUGGUGUAGCGGUGGAAUGCGCAGAUAUCAGGAGGAACACCGAUGGCGAAGGCAGAUCUCUGGGCCGUUACUGACGCUGAGGAGCGAAAGCGUGGGGAGCAAACAGGCUUAGAUACCCUGGUAGUCCACGC